UUGCCCCAGUAACGGCGAGUGAAGCGGCAACAGCUCAAAUUUGAAAUCUGGCUUCGGCCCGAGUUGUAAUUUGUAGAGGAAGCUUUUGGCAAGGCACCGACUGAGUCCCCUGGAACGGGGCGCCAUAGAGGGUGAGAGCCCCGUAUAGUCGGACGCUGAGCCUCUGUAAAGCUCCUUCGACGAGUCGAGUAGUUUGGGAAUGCUGCUCAAAAUGGGAGGUAAAUUUCUUCUAAAGCUAAAUACCGGCCAGAGACCGAUAGCGCACAAGUAGAGUGAUCGAAAGAUGAAAAGCACUUUGAAAAGAGGGUUAAAUAGCACGUGAAAUUGUUGAAAGGGAAGCGCUUGUGACCAGACUUGCGCCUGGCCGAUCAUCCGGGGUUCUCCCCGGUGCACUCGGCCAGGCUCAGGCCAGCAUCGGUUCUCUUGGGGGGACAAAGGUCCCGGGAACGUGGCUCCCUCCGGGGAGUGUUAUAGCCCGGGGCGUAAUGCCCUCGAGGGGACCGAGGACCGCGCUUCGGCAAGGAUGCUGGCGUUACGGUCAUCAGCGACCCGUCUUGAAACACGGACCAAGGAGUCAAGGUUUUGCGCGAGUGUUUGGGUGUAAAACCCGCACGCGUAAUGAAAGUAAACGUAGGUGAGAGCUUCGGCGCAUCAUCGACCGGCCCAGAUGUUCUCGGAAGGGCCUGAGUAGGAGCGUUAAGCCUUGGACCCGAAAGAUGGUGAACUAUGCUUGGAUAGGGUGAAGCCAGAGGAAACUCUGGUGGAGGCUCGCAGCGGUUCUGACGUGCAAAUCGAUCGUCAAAUCUGAGCAUGGGGGGCGAAAGACUAAUCGA
rnacentral:rRNA from 1 species